UACGUAGGCGGCAAGCGUUAUCCGGAUUUACUGGGUGUAAAGGGGGCGCAGACGGCGAUGCAAGCCAGGAGUGAAAGCCCGGGGCCCAACCCCGGGACUGCUCUUGGAACUGCGUGGCUGGAGUGCAGGAGGGGCAGGCGGAAUUCCUGGUGUAGCGGUGAAAUGCGUAGAUAUCAGGAGGAACACCGGUGGCGAAGGCGGCCUGCUGGACUGCAACUGACGUUGAGGCCCGAAAGCGUGGGGAGCAAACAGG
rnacentral:rRNA from 1 species